rnacentral:rRNA from 1 species
AGAGUUUGAUCAUGGCUCAGAACGAACGCUGGCGGCAGGCCUAAAACAUGCAAGUCGAGCGCCCAGCAAUGGGAGCGGCGGACGGGUGAGUAACACGUGGGAAUGUACCUAUCGGUUCGGAACAACUCAGGGAAACUUGAGCUAAUACCGGAUACGCCCUUUGGGGAAAGAUUUAUCGCCGAUAGAUCAGCCCGCGUUGGAUUAGCUAGUUGGUGAGGUAACGGCUCACCAAGGCGACGAUCCAUAGCUGGUUUGAGAGAACGACCAGCCACACUGGGACUGAGACACGGCCCAGACUCCUACGGGAGGCAGCAGUUGGGAAUCUUGGACAAUGGGGGAAACCCUGAUCCAGCCAUGCCGCGUGAGUGAUGAAGGCCUUCGGGUUGUAAAACUCUUUCGACGGGGACGAUAAUGACGGUACCCGUAGAAGAAGCUCCGGCUAACUUCGUGCCAGCAGCCGCGGUAAUACGAAGGGGGCUAGCGUUGUUCGGAAUUACUGGGCGUAAAGCGUGCGCAGGCGGCCAUCCAAGUCAGUGGUGAAAGCCCGGAGCUCAACUCCGGAAUUGCCAUUGAAACUGUUUGGCUCGAGUACGAGAGAGGUGAGUGGAAUUCCCAGUGUAGAGGUGAAAUUCGUAGAUAUUGGGAAGAACACCGGUGGCGAAGGCGGCUCACUGGCUCGUAACUGACGCUCAAGCACGACAGCGUGGGGAUCAAACAGGAUUAGAUACCCUGGUAGUCCACGCCGUAAACGAUGAACGCUAGCCGUUGGCCAGCUUGCUGGUCAGUGGCGCAGCUAACGCAUUAAGCGUUCCGCCUGGGGAGUACGGCCGCAAGGUUGAAACUCAAGGAAUUGACGGGGGCCCGCACAGCGUGGAGCAUGUGGUUUAAUUCGACGCAACGCGCAGAACCUUACCAGGGUUUGACAUCCUGUGCUCGCCGGUGAAAGCCGGUUU